UUGGAGGAUCGAGAAGGACGAAGAAGAAGGUGUAAGCAGCUGGUAAAUGUGAAAAGUUAAGAUGGUUUCACCACCCAGUGUCUUUAAGACUGUGAUAAAUGCAAUGGCCAACGAUGAAGGAUUAGUAGAGAAGAAAACUGUGUGACGUUAAAAGAAAACCAGUGAGAUAAAAUCAUAGAAAAUGUAUGAUGAUUCAGGAUGUGGUCAUUUGUGACAUUAAAACAGGAAUUGUCAUCACCAAUAGACGAAUUUCACAUUCCUAAGAGUUUUCUCCAAUUGCCGGCGUAUCGCUCAUU